AGAUUGAACGCUGGCGGCAUGCCUUACACAUGCAAGUCGAACGGCAGCACGGGAGCAAUCCUGGUGGCGAGUGGCGAACGGGUGAGUAAUAUAUCGGAACGUGCCCAGUAAUGGGGGAUAGCCCGGCGAAAGCCGGAUUAAUACCGCAUACGACCUACGGGUGAAAGCGGGGGAUCGCAAGACCUCGCGUUAUUGGAGCGGCCGAUAUCAGAUUAGCUUGUUGGCGGGGUAAAAGCCCACCAAGGCAACGAUCUGUAGCUGGUCUGAGAGGACGACCAGCCACACUGGGACUGAGACACGGCCCAGACUCCUACGGGAGCAGCAGUGGGAAUUUGGACAAUGGCGCAAGCCUGAUCCAGCCAUGCCGCGUGUGGGAAGAAGGCCUUCGGGUUGUAAACCGACUUUUUGUACGAGGGAACGAAACGGUCCUUUAACGUAAUAGUUAGGGUCUAAGUGACGUACCUGAAGAACUAAGCGAACCGC
rnacentral:rRNA from 1 species